rnacentral:misc_RNA from 1 species
GAUGAAGAACGCAGCGAAAUGCGAUACGUAAUGUGAAUUGCAGAAUUCAGUGAAUCAUCGAAUCUUUGAACGCACAUUGCGCCUGCCAGCACUCUGGCAGGCAUGCCUGUUCGAGCGUCAUUUCAACCAUCAAGCCCUAGGCUUGCGUUGGAGCCCUGCGGCUGCCGCAGGCCCCUAAAAGCAGUGGCGGGCUCGCUAUCACACCGAGUGCAGUAGAUUACUCUUCGCUCAGGGCGUGUGGCGGGUUCCAGCCGUGAAACCCCCUACUUCUCAAGGUUGACCUCGGAUCAGGUAGGAAUACCCGCUGAACUUAAGCAUAUCAAUAAGCGGUGGA